GCAAUGACAAGAAAACAGAAGGAGAGGACAUUUCACUUCCCUGUCCUGGCCCUCGCUCUGCCUCCAACCACGCCGCAGGCCUCUCUUCUGCACUUGAGUUUCCUGCCCCUUAAAUAUCGCUUUACCAGGAAAGGAGAACACCUUCACCCAAAGGACCAGCGGAGAUGUGAGGACAUCUGACUGCAGGCCACACAGCUGAGUUGGCAGGGAAGGCAGCUGGUGGCCACUUCCUGCCUCACCCUGCAGGAAGGAGACAGCAUCUCCCACUGAACUGGGGCUUACCAAUUGGCUAGACUGGCUGGCCAAUAUGCCCUGAGCAUCUAGUUCUGCUUCCCCAGAACUGGGCCCUGUCUUCCUGAAGUCCUGCGUUUCAAGAAGCCCAAGCUCAAGGAAUCUCCUCCAGACAUGUGACAGACCUCAGCUGGCAAAAAUCCUUCUUCAGGGCUACCCAGCUUCUCACCCACAAAGGUCAACGCAUCUGUAGCUUUCAAGUCUCCUGCUGGAUGUGACAUCUGCCCCGGGUUGGGAGCUAAAAUGCCUUGGCUGAUUUUUUUCUGGGAUAAAGUCAGAAGGAGGGCUCCGACAGUCUUUCUGAGCUUUAAGGUGUAGACUACAGCCUGUGUGGUUUAGCAAACCAGCAUUUUACGCUUGGAUGUGAGCUCGGGAGCUCUGUGACUUGGGUUCAUUCCCGUCUCCUCAGAGUGUAAGCUGCAUGAGUACUGUGUGUUCCUUGUUUUAUCCCCAGGACCAGGAAGAGAGUCCAGGGCCAAGGGCAAGCAUCUGUAAACAGUUGACAGAGGAAUUAGCAUGCCAAUAGCUUUGAACAAAUGAAUGGAACUAAGUCAGUUUGGGAACUGAACUCAGCCGCUAAUGAAGCUACUCAUUGCACUUAACCAAGACCCCACUUCCCUGAGACCCCCACUUCCAUCUUCUUUUUCCCUGAGCAAAUUUAACUUAUUGUUUUGUCUCAAAAUACCAUUACUGAAAACCUUUCCUCUGCAGUCCUUAGUGUGCCUCACGUUGUCUUAAGAAUGCAUGUAGCACGAGAUUGCAACCAGAAGGAGACAAUUACUUGAUUCCUUACUCCCUGAGUCCCGAGUUCACUGGUUCUCUUCUGCAGGUAUUUCUCUACAAACUGACAGAGCUUUGCUGAAGCCCUGCUGCUGGAGGCCUCUGUGUAACACCCUCCUGUGUAGGAAUUUGGUCAUGGAAAACAUAUCAACAAAGGCCUCUCUUUAGGCUUACCACAUGAGUGCAUGGUCUUCAUCCUCUAACGGCCCAUGCUUGGCACCAACCAGCCAGUUCCUCAUUUACCCCAGGGGAUCAGGCUCACUUCUGUAUUUUGACACUUGCCAGUCAUGCUGUCUUUACCAACGCCAGCAAGUGGGAGAUGGCAUGGUUCUUGCCGAAACUUUGGGGGCCUCCCACGGAUGCGGCACCUACCACUAGUACAUGUUACUCCUUAGAGAGGGCCUUAGGAUACUCAGAAGAUCAGCUGAUCAGGGAUUGAUAGAAAGCCCAAAGAUGCUUCCUCCCAGAGUAGCCCAAAUGUCAUCUAAUAUGCUUGAAUUCUCACUCUGAGUAUCGCAGGUUUACCCAAAUAAAUAUUUUCAUUCUCAGAGUCUGUGCCUGAUCAAAUUACCCAAAGACUGUGCCUAUGGUUGAAAAAAAAAGUUCCCCUGUUCUUCCUCCUUGCUCCUGGCAAGUGCCCUUCUGCUUUCUCCAUGAGCUUCGCUCUUCCAGGUCCCUAAUGUGUAAGAUGAUGGCUUUCCACUUCUUCUUGGCCCUUCCUUGAUAACAGAGAUUUCCAAACACUACAAAGUUUUAGGAUGAUACAGGGGU